CAGUAGCCGCGGUAAUACGUAGGUGGCAAGCGUUGUCCGGAAUUAUUGGGCGUAAAGGGCUCGCAGGCGGUUUCUUAAGUCUGAUGUGAAAGCCCCCGGCUCAACCGGGGAGGGUCAUUGGAAACUGGGAAACUUGAGUGCAGAAGAGGAGAGUGGAAUUCCACGUGUAGCGGUGAAAUGCGUAGAGAUGUGGAGGAACACCAGUGGCGAAGGCGACUCUCUGGUCUGUAACUGACGCUGAGGAGCGGAAGCGUGGGGAGUGAACAGGAUUAGAUACCCGCGUAGUCCCUGUCUCUUAUAA
rnacentral:rRNA from 1 species